rnacentral:rRNA from 1 species
AUUGAACGCUGGCGGCAGGCCUAACACAUGCAAGUCGAGCGGAAGAACGGAGCUUGCUUGUGGAUUCAGCGGCGGACGGGUGAGUAAUGCCUAGGUAUCUGCCUGUUAGCGUGGGAUUACGUCCGGAAACGGGGGAUAAUACCCCAAUCGUGCUGAGGGCGUAAGGGGGGGAGCUUGGGACCUUCGGCGAUCAGAUGAGCCUAGGUCGGAUUAGCUAGUUGGUGGGGUAAAGGCCUACCAAGGCGCCGAUCCGUCACUGGGCUGAGAGGAUGAACCGGCACCAUGGGACUGAGACACCGUCCUGACUCCUACGGGAGGCAACAAUGGGGAAUAUUGGACGAAGGGCGGAAGCCUGAACCAGGCAUGACGGGUGGGUGAAGAAAGUCUUCGGAUUGUAAAACACUUUUAGUUGGGAAAAAGGGCAGUAAGUUUAUACCUUGCUGGUUUGACGGUACCCACAAAAUAAGCACCGGCUAACUUCGUG